rnacentral:rRNA from 1 species
UACGGGGGGGGCAAGCGUUGUUCGGAAUUACUGGGCGUAAAGGGCGCGUAGGCGGUUUGCUAAGUUGGAUGUGAAAACUCUGGGCUUAACCCAGAGCCUGCAUCCAAAACUGGCAAACUUGAGUACUGGAGGGGAGAUCGGAAUUCCUGGUGUAGCGGUGAAAUGCGCAGAUAUCAGGAGGAACACCGGUGGCGAAGGCGGAUCUCUGGGCCUGUCCUGACGCUGAGGCGCGGAAGCUAGGGGAGCGAACAGG